GCAUUGAGAGAGUCCGUGAUGACAGUUCACAUCUUGUUUUAUUUAAGUCGCAGGUUGAUGACAUCACCAGUCUAUAUAAAAAAGGCAGGAUAUGAAAGGAUCUGUUCAAUCUGAAACGACACCCUCUAUAGGGCCGUACGUUGGACCAGGAGAGCACCAUGAAAGGGGACAUUAUUUAAGACUCACAUUAUUUAUGUCUGUAUAAAAUCGGAACCAGUGAUUGGCCAGUUACAACAGGAAAUUAGACAGUAUUAAUGUGAUUGGCCAGUUAUAACAGGAAAUGAGGCAGUAUUAAUGUGAUUGGCCGGUUAUAACAGGACAUGAGACAGUAUUAACGUGAUUGGCCAGUUAUAACAGGAAAUGAGAGACAGUUAAUUAAUGUGAUUAGUCAGUUAUAACAGGAAAUGAGAGGCAGUAUUAAUGUGAUUGGCCGGUUAUAACAGGAAAUGAGAGGCAGUAUUAAUGUGAUUGGCCGGUUAUAACAGGAAAUGAGAGGCAGUAUUAAUGUGAUUGGCCGGUUAUAACAGGAAAUGAGAGGCAGUAUUAAUGUGAUUGGCCGGUUAUAACAGGAAAUGAGAGGCAGUAUUAAUGUGAUUGGCCGGCUAUAACAGGAAAUGAGAGGCAGUAUUAAUGUGAUUGGCCGGUUCUAACAGGAAAUGAGAGGCAGUAUUAAUGUGAUUGGUCAGUUAUAACAGGAAAUAAAACCGGCAGCAUCAAAACAUAUUGAUUAUCAAUGAUAGUCCUCGUAGAGGAAGAAUGGUAGGUGAGGGGGGGGGGGGGGGGGUGAUUCUGAGGGGUGUGUGUGUCAGAGUCAGACUUUGGUCUUCUUGGUCGGGGGUUCAGGGUUGAUGUUGAGGGGUGUGUGUGUGUCAGAGUCAGACUUUGGUCUUCUUGGUCGGGGGUUCAGGGUUGAUGCUGAGGGGGGUGUGUGUGUCAGAGUCAGACUUUGGUCUUCUUGGUCGAGGGUUCAGGGUUGAUGUUGAGGGGUGUGUGUCAGACUGUGGUCUUCUUGGUCGGGGGUUCAGGGUUGAUGUUGAGGGGUGUGUGUGUGUCAGAGUCAGACUGUGGUCUUCUUGGUCGGGGGUUCAGGGUUGAUGUUGAGGGGUGUGUGUGUCAGAGUCAGACUGUGGUCUUCUUGGUCGGGGGUUCAGGGUUGAUGUUGAGGGGUGUGUGUCAGAGUCAGACUGUGGUCUUCUUGGUCGGGGGUUCAGGGUUGAUGUUGAGGGGUGUGUGUGUCAGAGUCAGACUUUGGUCUUCUUGGUCGGGGGUUCAGGGUUGAUGCUGAGGGGUGUGUGUCAGACUUUGGUCUUCUUGGUCGGGGGUUCAGGGUUGAUGUU